AUCCUCCUGCUCUGCCUUGGGAUGGCUCCUCUGUCUGGGAGACAAACCUCCAGCACUCUCUCUUCCUUUUGGGCUGUUGGUGUUCAUUGCGGUAGAGUCAGAGCCGUAGCCGGUUUCAUUCCAGAGCAGUGCUAGCGGCUCUCCUGGACCUAAUGGAAGCUGCUGUUCUGCCUGUACAGCUUCCACUGGGCCACAGGCCCAGGGUCCCACCAGAAGGCAGAGCUGUCCUUACGAUCAGUUGUGCCUAUCUCCAGGGAGCUCGCUGUCAAUUUCAAAGGCUGAAUACUUUACUUCCAUGAACUGUGAGGCUGUUGCCCUAGGAUGGGAAUGUGGGGGAAAAUGUGGUCUGCUUGUAUCAAUAAUACGUUUCCCCACGCAAGCUUAGGUGGCACGGGAUGGCAGUUUGUCUUCUGCUUUGCUUCAGGUGAGCACUGGGACCUACACAUUGGUAGCCAGCUCAUGCCUGUGCCAGUCAGAUCUCAGCCACACAAAUGUCUCCAAGAUACUUCUGCCAGAUUUGGGCUUUGGUUUUUUGUGAGAUUAUCCUCAUUUUCCAUGGGUUGCUUCCUCACUAUAUCCUCCUGCUGUCUUGGUUUCUUAUGGUCCAACCAGGCAUCUUGUUGAUCCUCCUGGUCCUUUUGCUGAAACUGCUGCCACAGCAGCUGCAACAUUCAUUGCUAUGUCAAGAGAUGAUACAGCUGCAGGUAGGAUGGUGUUUGUGUAGCUUUCACUAGCACUGCUGCAGCAUCACAAGAAUCCACUGCACCAACAACGUGGCUGGCAUUGCUGGUGUUCUAUUUAAUGAGGCUCUCUGAGUUCAAGUGUGCUUUUUUUUGAACUUGUCUCCCCUUAUACAGUUUUACUAGGUUGCUUCCUGCCAGAUCCAGAAUCAAGGAAUUAAACCCCCCUCUCUUUCCAAAACCAAGCACCAAUGCCCUGCAAACCAUUUGGAAAACUAAUUUCUUUUAUCUACAGGAUCCUUCACCCUCAUCGUUUGUUGUUUUUUUUUUUAACCCUUUUAAUUAAAAAUACUGGUUCCUGCAGUAUAUACCUCUAGCUUUCUCUCCUCAGGCACAUGUACUUGGAGUUAUUACCAGCUGCUCUGCCACAUCCAAAGUACUCUAUUCAGUGAAGUAUACAGUGGUUCAGAAGGACUGUAAGCAGGCAGAGAAAUGCCAGAUGUUGGGACUAGAAAGAGUGCAUUAGCUUCAGGUAAUUAGGAUAUACUUUACCAGGGCAGUAAUACUCAUUUAUCACAAUUUCAAGGCAGAGGAACCAUGAGUGUGAACUUUAUCCCAUACGUUGGUAUAUUGCUCUCCGUGAACUGGCCAAACCUUACUUCUUGGAGAAUGAAAGUUUGAGCCUAUGAGACACUGGACUCCUUUCAAGAAAAGCUUUGAACAAACCUGAUCAAAAGUUCAAGGUUUCAAUGACAAUAGGAAGUUUUAAGACUAGCAGCAUUUUUUUAUGCAAAAGGUAGUUGCUGGUCCUGUAACUGGGAACACUUUUUACCUUAGAAGUAGAUUUAGAUGUAUCUUUUGUUCACUUCUUGAAAUGAGGAAUGGUCUUCCAAUACUGUGUUGUGUGCCAGGAUGGCAUAAAUGGCACUACUAGGUAUCUGGUAGGUAGCUGAUGAAAACAGAAUGUUGGCUUUUAUCUCACAUUAAAAAUAAGCUAGAAACCAGGGCAAGUCUUCAUGCUAGAAAAGUAAAGGGAUUUACGGUAUGUCAUGGCAGUGUGAGUUCCUCAACCAAAGGUGGGGGUGUUAUGUAUCAUCUGUGCUGUUCACCUGAAAUUUCUCAAUGAGAACUUCAAAACUGACACAACUGCUGUAUGACUAGUGAUUUUUUUAUGCUCUACAGAACAUUGUAACAUUCUUUAAGCUAAUAAAUGGAAUAAGAUUGUUAACUUAAAGGAACCUCAGAAAAAAUUCAAAGCCUCAAGUACUGAGUUUACAUGGAAUGGAAGGUUUAGAAGAAAAAAGGGAUGAGGGAAAAUGGAAAGAUCUGCAUCUUGGCCACGGAAGAGCAAGGUGCAUGAAGCAGCUGCUGUUGGGAACAGCUUUCAGUCCUGGAGAGAAGCUACUUGCAGCAUGGGUUGCUUAUCUCCGAUGAAAAGCCUGUUCCAUCAGGCCAGCACCCCCGGAGGCAGCCGAAGAUUACCAGCCUGUCUGAAACUCUGGAGUCAGAACUGACCACAUGGAAGUUGCUUACGGUGAUCAAGGAACAGAUGGUGGAGUCUGCGGCUCAUCACUCUUCCCUAGUUACAGGCCAGCUUAAAGUGUGGUGUGAGGACUCCAAAAAAGCAAUGCAGGUCCUAGGUCCAUGACUGUGCAAGUCAGAGACAACAGCAUAGCUAAUGGCCAAAUUCCUUAUUCAACUUCAGACAACUUUCUUAUGAAGAUCAAUGAGGAAUCUUCAAGCUGAGGGAACUACAUCUACCUAAACGCCUGCUACAGUGCACAGAGUUGGAACAUGACGUGACUUUUCCUUCACAAUGAACUUGCCACCUCCAGUUUAGUACGUUACUUGGCUCCAGCUGUUACUACGCUUAGAAGUUACAUGCUGGACUCCAGAAUUAAUCCAAGAGGGUUGCUGCUAUAUUGGAUCGGUUCUGAUGCUGGCCAAAGCAGGCAUUAUCCUGGAACUCACUUGCAGCAACAGACAGGAUAGAUGCCCUCCUCUGCAGUGUAAUUCACUUAGAUGUUAUUGGCAUAAAUGUUGUUCAGGUAUUACUCAGUUUAUCCUUAUCUGCCAGGAAUGGGUCAGCGCCCAACUAAAAGCAGGUACAUGCUGUUUCAGGUUUGGCUUUCUCUGCUGGUCACUAUUAAUGGUAUGAUUCCUAGCAUAGUACCUUCUGUGCAUUCUCUAUAGCUUAUUUUCCACAACCAGAGUAUAAGAAAUAACUGUAUUUUCCAUACUCUUCCUUGAAAUUCUAAUGAUGCAGUAAUUUCUUUCUGCUUUAGUCUCUCUUCUACUACAUCAUCUGAAAUGCCACUGUUUCAAUUUUAUAUUCACUUACUCCCGACCCAAUAAAUUUACCUGUUUCCCUGACUCUGCACAUGCAUUCUUCACUGCCUGCUUGUUCUGUAUAGGUCACUUUUGCUGUUUUUCUCCACAUCUACCUUCACUCCUAGCUGUCCUAUUUAGAGUACCUUGACACCUUAAAUUUCCACAGUUCAGGGAAAUACAGAAAUGGGCAGGGAUAAAAUUUUGUUAACUCUACCUGAGAAACAGCUUUCAAAAUUCUUUAUUUAAACUUCCCUUUCUGUAUCAGCUAAGGCAACUCCUAUCCACACCUCUGUUCUUUGAAUGUGAUCUCAGAUUAAACAGUGGAGAAUGUUCUUAGAACAUAUUUCUAAGGUAAAACGAACACCAAUAUUUCAGCACUUUUCUGGUUC